GUCUACGGCCAUGCUACCUGGAACAAGCCCGAUUCCAUCUGAUCUCGGAAGCUAAGGAGGGUCGGGCCUGGUUAGUACUUGGAUGGGAGACCACGUAGGAAGACCAGGUGCUACAGGCG
rnacentral:rRNA from 1 species